UAUGACCAUAUCAUGUUGAAACACUACUUCCUGUAUGAUAACCAAAGUUAAGCAACAUUGAGCUGGUCAGUACCUAGAUGGGUGACCAUUUGAGAAUACCAGGUGCUGUAAG
rnacentral:rRNA from 1 species